GGUUUUAUAUUCAACAAUGAUUUUAGACUGCAAUUCUAAGGGUGAAUAAUAUUCUAAGGCCU
rnacentral:tRNA from 1 species